rnacentral:rRNA from 1 species
CCUACGGGAGACAGCAGUAGGGAAUAUUGCUCAAUGGGGGAAACCCUGAAGCAGCAACGCCGCGUGGAGGAUGAAGGUUUUCGGAUUGUAAACUCCUUUUGUUAGAGAAGAUAAUGACGGUAUCUAACGAAUAAGCACCGGCUAACUCCGUGCCAGCAGCCGCGGUAAUACGGAGGGUGCAAGCGUUACUCGGAAUCACUGGGCGUAAAGCGCGCGUAGGCGGGAUAGCAAGUCAGAUGUGAAAUCCUAUGGCUUAACCUUAGAACUGCAUUUGAAACUGUUAUUCUAGAGUAUGGUAGAGGUAGGUGGAAUGCGUGGUGUAGGGGUAAAAUCCGUAGAGAUCAAGAGGAAUACUCAUUGCGAAGGCGACCUGCUAGAACAUAACUGACGCUGAUGCGCGAAAGCGUGGGGAGCAAACAGGAUUAGAUACCCUAGUAGUC